rnacentral:rRNA from 1 species
CUGGGGAACCCAGGCUAAUACCGCAUACGUCCUACGGGAGAAAGGGCGGCUUCGGCUCCCGCUAUCGGAUGAGCCUAUGUCGGAUUAGCUAGUUGGUGGGGUAACGGCCCACCAAGGCGACGAUCCGUAGCUGGUCUGAGAGGAUGAUCAGCCACAUCGGGACUGAGACACGGCCCGAACUCCUACGGGAGGCAGCAGUGGGGAAUAUUGGACAAUGGGGGCAACCCUGAUCCAGCCAUGCCGCGUGUGUGAAGAAGGCCUUAGGGUUGUAAAGCACUUUCAGCGAGGAAGAACGCCUGGCGGUUAAUACCCGUCAGGAAAGACAUCACUCGCAGAAGAAGCACCGGCUAACUCCGUGCCAGCAGCCGCGGUAAUACGGAGGGUGCAAGCGUUAAUCGGAAUUACUGGGCGUAAAGCGCGCGUAGGUGGCUUGAUAAGCCGGUUGUGAAAGCCCCGGGCUCAACCUGGGAACGGCAUCCGGAACUGUCAGGCUAGAGUGCAGGAGAGGAAGGUAGAAUUCCCGGUGUAGCGGUGAAAUGCGUAGAGAUCGGGAGGAAUACCAGUGGCGAAGGCGGCCUUCUGGACUGACACUGACACUGAGGUGCGAAAGCGUGGGUAGCAAACAGGAUUAGAUACCCUGGUAGUCCACGCCGUAAACGAUGUCGACCAGCCGUUGGGUGCCUAGCGCACUUUGUGGCGAAGUUAACGCGAUAAGUCGACCGCCUGGGGAGUACGGCCGCAAGGUUAAAACUCAAAUGAAUUGACGGGGGCCCGCACAAGCGGUGGAGCAUGUGGUUUAAUUCGAUGCAACGCGAAGAACCUUACCUACCCUUGACAUCCUGCGAACUUGGAGAGAUACCUUGGUGCCUUCGGGAACGCAGAGACAGGUGCUGCAUGGCUGUCGUCAGCUCGUGUUGUGAAUGUUGGG